UACGUAGGGUGCAAGCGUUAAUCGGAAUUCCUGGGCGUAAAGCGUGCGCAGGCGGUUAUGUAAGACAGGUGUGAAAUCCCCGGGCUUAACCUGGGAACUGCAUUUGUGACUGCAUAGCUAGAGUACGGUAGAGGGGGAUGGAAUUCCGCGUGUAGCAGUGAAAUGCGUAGAUAUGCGGAGGAACACCGAUGGCGAAGGCAAUCCCCUGGACCUGUACUGACGCUCAUGCACGAAAGCGUGGGGAGCAAACAGG
rnacentral:rRNA from 1 species